GCUUAUCAAGUCAAACAGGAUCCAACAUAAUUUUAAGUGUAUCCGUCAGAAAAUUCUAAAACAUUUUUUACACUGUGAGUAAAAAAAGUCUCCCUCCAUAGCAUCCACUGAACAGACUGCAGCUCAACAGCAGCUUCAUUCUGGUGCUGGAUUGAGGCGGGUGGCUGCAUUGCAAUGCCAACGACACAGCUGAAGUUGGGGGCACGUAGGCGGCACUGGGAAGCCAGCAUACGGUUCAGAGACAGUGGUGGCUCUACUCACCAAAAGGGCUUGGUGGCUGCCAAGUUAGUCCUGACAUCCUUCAAACUCCAAAACAGAAAGAAGAGAGGAAGAAACAAGAAGGCACUUUCAACCAGAGACUGUGAAACAUAUGAAAAUAUUCCAUCUUGUGACUCUCCCCCACUUUUAAGAGGAGGCAAAAGGUAUCAGCAGC
ensembl:lncRNA